UCUAAAGAGCAUAGGGAGAGUUCACCUAUCAAUGGGAUCUUCUGUUUUGGGCUCAAAAACCUUCAGUAGACAAAAUGAAACAAAAAGAUAUGUUAACAUUCUAAAAUAUGUAUUCUGGUAGAUGGAAGCUUUAGAUUUUUAGGACACAGAUUGUUUUUGUUUUUGUUUUGUUUUGUUUUGUUUUGGCAAUUUUUCAGGUUGAAUUAUUCAGCCAGUCAACAAUGUUCUAUGGCAUUUUGGGAAAGAUAGAGGUGAAAAGGAAAAGGUAAUCAUUAAGAGAAGAAAAGAAGAUUAUUUGGAAUGCAACUGGGAGAAUUUAUCAUCAAAAUGUGAAAACAUACAAGUUCAAGGGAAAGAAAAAAGAUAAGGAUGACUUACAACCAAUUAGCAGCAUUUCUUGGCAAAUCUGUGGUACUUGGCAUGAUUCCUGAAACAG